GACGAACGCUGGCGGCGUGCUUAACACAUGCAAGUCGAACGGCAAGGCCCUGCUUUCGUGGGGUGCCGGAGUGGCGAUCGGGUGCGUAACAGGUGAGUAACCUGCCCUAGACUUUGGGAUAACUUCAGGAAACUGGGGCUACUACCGGAUAGGAUCUCCUGCUGCAUGGAGGGCGUUGGAUAGUCUCGGCGGUUGGGGAUGGAUGAGCGGCUUAUGAGUUUGUUGGUGGGGUAGUGGAUUACCGAGGCUUUGGACGGUAGCCGGCUUGGGAGGGGGGCCGGCGACAUGGGGACUAAGGGAGGGCGCAGACGCGUACGGGGGGCAGCAGGGGGGAGUAUGACACAGUGGGAGGGAGCCUGAGGCAGCGACGCCGCGGUCGGGAUGACGGCCUUCGGGGUGUGAACCGCAGUCGGCUGUGACGAAGCGGGAGUGACGGUAAUGGGUAAAGAAGCACCGGCUAACUACGUG
rnacentral:rRNA from 1 species